rnacentral:rRNA from 1 species
UACGGAGGAUGCAAGCGUUAUCCGGAAUUAUUGGGCGUAAAGCGUCCGUAGGCGGCUUUCUAAGUCAGGGGUGAAAUCCUGGAGCUCAACUCCAGAACUGCCUUUGAUACUGGAGAGCUUGAGUCCGGAAGAGGUGAGUGGAACUCCGAGUGUAGAGGUGAAAUUCGUAGAUAUUCGGAAGAACACCAGUGGCGAAGGCGGCUCACUGGUCCGGUACUGACGCUGAUGUGCGAAAGCGUGGGGAGCAAACAGG